rnacentral:rRNA from 1 species
UGAGAUACGGCCCAGACUCCUACGGGAGGCAGCAGUGGGGAAUAUUGCACAAUGGGCGGAAGCCUGAUGCAGCAACGCCGCGUGCGGGAUGACGGCCUUCGGGUUGUAAACCGCUUUCGCCUGUGACGAAGCGUGAGUGACGGUAAUGGGUAAAGAAGCACCGGCUAACUACGUGCCAGCAGCCGCGGUGAUACGUAGGGUGCGAGCGUUGUCCGGAUUUAUUGGGCGUAAAGGGCUCGUAGGUGGUUGAUCGCGUCGGAAGUGUAAUCUUGGGGCUUAACCGGCAGCGGGAAUUCGAUACGGGUUGACUUGAGGAAGGUAGGGGAGAAUGGAAUUCCUGGUGGAGCGGUGGAAUGCGCAGAUAUCAGGAGGAACACCAGUGGCGAAGGCGGUUCUCUGGGCCUUUCCUGACGCUGAGGAGCGAAAGCGUGGGGAGCGAACAGGCUUAGAUACCCUGGUAGUCCACGCUGUAAACGGUGGGUUCUAGGUGUGGGGUCCAUUCCACGGGUUCCGUGCCGUAGCUAACGCUUUAAGUACCCCGCCUGGGGAGUACGGCCGCAAG